GGGGAAUUUUCCGCAAUGGGCGCAAGCCUGACGGAGCAACGCCGCGUGAGGGAUGAAGGCCUCUGGGCUGUAAACCUCUUUUCUCAAGGAAGAAGAUCUGACGGUACUUGAGGAAUAAGCCACGGCUAAUUCCGUGCCAGCAGCCGCGGUAAUACGGGAGUGGCAAGCGUUAUCCGGAAUUAUUGGGCGUAAAGCGUCCGCAGGCGGCCUUGAAAGUCUGUUGUUAAAGCGUGGAGCUUAACUCCAUUUCAGCAAUGGAAACUACAAGGCUAGAGUGUGGUAGGGGCAGAGGGAAUUCCCGGUGUAGCGGUGAAAUGCGUAGAUAUCGGGAAGAACACCAGUGGCGAAGGCGCUCUGCUGGGCCAUAACUGACGCUCAUGGACGAAAGCCAGGGGAGCGAAAGGGAUUAGAUACCCCAGUAGUC
rnacentral:rRNA from 1 species